UACGUAGGGUGCGAGCGUUGUCCGGAAUUAUUGGGCGUAAAGAGCUUGUAGGCGGUUUGUCGCGUCUGCCGUGAAAAUUCGAGGCUCAACCUCGAACUUGCGGUGGGUACGGGCAGACUAGAGUGUGGUAGGGGGAGACUGGAAUUCCUGGUGUAGCGGUGAAAUGCGCAGAUAUCAGGAGGAACACCGAUGGCGAAGGCAGGUCUCUGGGCAUUAACUGACGCUGAGGAGCGAAAGCAUGGGGAGCGAACAGGA
rnacentral:rRNA from 1 species